UCAAACCAGAAGAGUCACUUACUGAAGCACCAUCCUGGAGCAGGCUAGCCCACAGUCCCAGUGGUACAGCUGCUGAAUGACUGGUACUUUCAGCUGGAUGCAGUCAACUGUAGUGAAAACACCCCAUGGGUCAGCAAUGCGGUGGUUUCAGUUUCAGAAACGCCCUAACCACUCAAAGGACUUGAAGAGUUGUGCCUGUUACCGCUACUUCAAUGUCCAUCAAGGCAAGUUAAUUAGAAAGGGCUUUUCUCAAUAACCUCACCUUUGAUCUAGAAAGGACCUUUGAAAAGUUGUGUUCACACAAGGUCAACUACAUUAAGAUGGGAUUAGAAACGCAUUUGACAUUUGGACUGCUCUAGUUUUGAUGUAACAUUAUUUAUAUAACUUUUUAGAUAAUGUUUGUAACCUUAUAUUAUUUUUAACAAAGCUAUAGCCUACUGUAGGGGUAAGCCAAUAUAGAUAUUCUGGAUGCUU